CUUGUUUAUUAGCAUGCCUAUUGUGAGACCAUCCUUUCUUUCUACACCCAUAAUAUGCAUUUAAUACACAGGUUUUUUGUGAUCAUCUUGUUUGCCAUUUCUUAUGGCACUGGAUAAUGAUAAAUUGUAAGAAAAUGAGGAAGAGGAUGUUGAGCGUGUGGGGAUAAUGCCUGGAAGUGGUCAUAGAAUAAUAGAUUCAGAGCUGAAAAGACCUUUACAGGAUUGGCUGGCUUUUCAUUACAAUUGGCUGAAAGAAUCAUAGGGUCUCCUGCUAAAUAUUUUCAUUUUGCUGAAGCAAGCAAUUACUACUGUAGAGUUAAAAAGAUUAAAAAAAAAAGAAAAACAGAAAAUUUAACAAAACAUCACUUUCUUCAGAGAAGGUAUUAAAACAAAGGAAUCAUGUUUAACUAUCAAAAAUUGUUUGUAGAGUGAACUCCUGUAGGGAUUGGGCUGGACAAUUUCUCAAGUUCCUUCUAGUUAUUAGAUUCUGUGAUUCCAUACAGCAAGUAAAUAGCAGAGCUGGGAUUUGAAUCCAGGACACUGCGGAUAAGUCUGAUUUGAGGAAAACCAAUCUAAUAGUCAGGGCAGCUAUACGUAUUAGAUACUGAAGAUAGGAAGACUCAGUUCUGACUCAGACAUGUACAAGUUGUGUGACCCUGGGUAAGUCACUUAAACCCAUUUGCCUCAGUUCCUUAUCCUAUAAAAAUAAGCUGGAGAAGGAAAUGAUAAAUGAUUUCAUUAUCUUUGCCAAGAAAAACCCAAAUGAGGUCAUGAAGAGAUGGACAUGGCUGAAAUGAUUGAACAACAACAACAUCUUAAUAAUUACAGCUAUCUAAAAUGAUAAUGUGCUGACUUAAGGAAUGAUGUGUAUCCCUUUAUUGGAAACAUUCAUGUGGCAGUUGGAUAGCUACUUGUCAGAGAUAUUAUGCAGCGGAUUCAUGCUUAUAUAUUUGUUGGACUUAUAGGGCCUUGGAGACCCUUUCCAGCUUUGAUAUUCUACAUUUCUAAAGGAUUCUACUUCCUUUUAAACAAGCUACAAAUCAUAACAUGCCACAUCCUGACUCAGGAACAGGAAUUUGUAAGUUCUAGGGGAAACUGGCACCCAGAGUCAUGGGGAGGGGCAGCAGAGAUGGACCCAGAGAGGAGGUACCACUGCUUGGGUGAGAGAAUUUAGUUGAGGUGAAGGUAAUGGGUAAGGCCAGUUGAAUGCUUUGGGACAACCCCCUGCAUUGUUUCAUCACUAUCCUCAGGAAACACUAUGUAUGGCAAUUUGGAAAAGCUGACAAAAGAGAUGAUGAUGGGGCAAGGUAUAUCACAUUUAGUAAAAUGGAAGUUGUUUAAAAGAGGCAGCACAAGUCUGAUAUUUUAUACCCACAAAAAACAUUUAGAGUAAAUAAAGAUAAUAAGCAAAUAAUCAGAAAGUAAACUCCAAAAUAAACUCAAAGAGAACAAAACAAAUGAAAAUUUAGAAAAAUUACGAUUAAAUAAAACUAAGAAAAUGAAUCAAAGGGUAAGAAAUAAUAGGGGGCAUUUUCAUAUGUUACUUAAUUAAGAAAGGAAGAAAAGAUAAAGAAAUAACUGAAUAAACAAAAGAGAGAAAACUCAAUAAAUUCUUCCCAAACUAGGGCUGGAAGUAGGAGAAAGACAGACACUAGAUUAGGCUCAGAGAAAUUUAGGCAAAACUAAUCUUAGACACUUAAGGGGAAAGGGAUUUAAAAAGCAAUACGAAAGAAGCAAAUGAAAUAAAGCAAUUUUAAUAUUGAUAACAUUAAAUGUGAAUGGACUAAAGAAGUCCCCAAAAGAAAGAAGAAUGGCCUUUAAGGAAAAAAAAAACUCCAUAAUCUAUUGAUUCAAGAAACAGAGCUCAAAGGCAUAUACACAGAAAAAAGGGGAAGCCUAUAAUAAAAAUUCAAGCAAAUACAGGUGAAGACUCAAUUAUUCUACCAGACCAAACCCCUAUGUAAUAAUAAUGAUCCACAAUAAUAAACAAAAACUGGAGUUUGUGAUUUUGCAUAAUUUUUUUGCAUUUGCUUAUUUAAAUUUUUUGGU